rnacentral:pre_miRNA from 12 species
UUUGUGGGAUACACACGGUUCAGUUGUGUCACUUUUGCGAGCAUCACUGGGCUUUGUUUAUCUCAUAAG